CAUAGGCAAUGGCUGGCUUGGUUAAGGUAACCAACCGGAGCCGUAGCAAAAGCGAAUCUUCAUAGAACGAUUGUCACUACUUAUGAACCCAAACCUAGGUGAUCUAUCCAUGACCAGCAUGAAGCUUGGGUGAAACUAAGCAAAGGUCCAAACCGACUGAUGUUGAAGAAUCAAUGAAUGAGUUGUGGUUAGGGCGGUCAAAUGCCUCUCGAGCCCAGAGCUAGCUGG
rnacentral:ncRNA from 1 species